rnacentral:rRNA from 1 species
UCAGGAUGAACGCCGGCGGUGUGCCUAAUACAUGCAAGUCGAACGCGUUGGCCCAAUUGAUUGAUGGUGCUUGCACCUGAUUGAUUUUGGUCGCCAACGAGUGGCGGACGGGUGAGUAACACGUAGGUAACCUGCCCAGAAGCGGGGGACAACAUUUGGAAACAGAUGCUAAUACCGCAUAACAACGUUGUUCGCAUGAACAACGCUUAAAAGAUGGCUUCUCGCUAUCACUUCUGGAUGGACCUGCGGUGCAUUAGCUUGUUGGUGGGGUAACGGCCUACCAAGGCGAUGAUGCAUAGCCGAGUUGAGAGACUGAUCGGCCACAAUGGGACUGAGACACGGCCCAUACUCCUACGGGAGGCAGCAGUAGGGAAUCUUCCACAAUGGGCGCAAGCCUGAUGGAGCAACACCGCGUGAGUGAAGAAGGGUUUCGGCUCGUAAAGCUCUGUUGUUAAAGAAGAACACGUAUGAGAGUAACUGUUCAUACGUUGACGGUAUUUAACCAGAAAGUCACGGCUAACUACGUGCCAGCAGCCGCGGUAAUACGUAGGUGGCAAGCGUUAUCCGGAUUUAUUGGGCGUAAAGAGAGUGCAGGCGGUUUUCUAAGUCUGAUGUGAAAGCCUUCGGCUUAACCGGAGAAGUGCAUCGGAAACUGGAUAACUUGAGUGCAGAAGAGGGUAGUGGAACUCCAUGUGUAGCGGUGGAAUGCGUAGAUAUAUGGAAGAACACCAGUGGCGAAGGCGGCUACCUGGUCUGCAACUGACGCUGAGACUCGAAAGCAUGGGUAGCGAACAGGAUUAGAUACCCUGGUAGUCCAUGCCGUAAACGAUGAGUGCUAGGUGUUGGAGGGUUUCCGCCCUUCAGUGCCGGAGCUAACGCAUUAAGCACUCCGCCUGGGGAGUACGACCGCAAGGUUGAAACUCAAAGGAAUUGACGGGGGCCCGCACAAGCGGUGGAGCAUGUGGUUUAAUUCGAAGCUACGCGAAGAACCUUACCAGGUCUUGACAUCUUGCGCCAACCCUAGAGAUAGGGCGUUUCCUUCGGGAACGCAAUGACAGGUGGUGCAUGGUUG